rnacentral:rRNA from 1 species
AACGAACGCUGGCGGCAUGCCUAACACAUGCAAGUCGAACGAGACCUUCGGGUCUAGUGGCGCACGGGUGCGUAACGCGUGGGAACCUGCCCUUAGGUUCGGAAUAACUCCCCGAAAGGGGUGCUAAUACCGGAUAAUGUCUUCGGACCAAAGAUUUAUCGCCUUUGGAUGGGCCCGCGUUGGAUUAGCUAGUUGGUAGGGUAAAAGCCUACCAAGGCGACGAUCCAUAGCUGGUCUGAGAGGAUGAUCAGCCACACUGGGACUGAGACACGGCCCAGACUCCUACGGGGGGCAGCAGGGGGGAAUAUUGGAAAAUGGGCGAAAGCCUGAACCAGCAAUGCCGGGUGAGGGAUGAAGGCCUUAGGGUUUAAAAGCUCUUUUCCCCGGGAUGAUAAUGACAGUACCGGGAGAAUAAGCCCCGGCUAACCCCGU